rnacentral:rRNA from 1 species
UACAGCGAAACUGCGAAUGGCUCAUUAUAUAAGUUAUCGUUUAUUUGAUAGUACCUUACUACUUGGAUAACCGUGGUAAUUCUAGAGCUAAUACAUGCUAAAAAUCCCGACUUCGGAAGGGAUGUAUUUAUUAGAUUAAAAACCAAUGCCCUCUGGGCUCCUUGGUGAUUCAUGAUAACUUCUCGAAUCGCAUGGCCUUGCGCCGGCGAUGGUUCAUUCAAAUUUCUUCCCUAUCAACUUUCGAUGUUUGGGUAGUGGCCAAACAUGGUUGCAACGGGUAACGGAGGGUUAGGGCUCGACCCCGGAGAAGGAGCCUGAGAAACGGCUACUACAUCCAAGGAAGGCAGCAGGCGCGCAAAUUACCCAAUCCCGAUUCGGGGAGGUAGUGACAAUAAAUACUGAUACAGGGCUCUUUUGGGUCUUGUAAUUGGAAUGAGUACAAUUUAAAUCCCUUAACGAGGAACAAUUGGAGGGCAAGUCUGGUGCCAGCAGCCGCGGUAAUUCCAGCUCCAAUAGCGUAUAUUAAAGUUGUUGUGGUUAAAAAGCUCGUAGUUGAACCUUGGGCCUGGCUGGCCGGUCCGCCUCACCGCGUGUACUGGUCCGGCCGGGUCUUUCCCUCUGUGGAACCCCAUGCCCUUCACUGGGUGUGGCGGGGAAACAGACUUUUACUUUGAAAAAAUUAGAGUGCUCCAGCAGCCUAUGCUCGAAUACAUUAGCAUGGAAUAAUGAAAUAGACGUGCGGUUCUAUUUUGUUGGUUUCUAGACCGCCUAAUGAUUAAUAGGGACAGUCGGGCAUCAGUAUUCAAUUGUCAGAGUGAAAUUCUUGGAUUUAUUGAGACUAACUACUGCGACAGCAUU